UGAAUCAACUUUAGGAGACGGUCCUGGCGCUUGCUGGAAUUUGGGAGCCCUGAAGCCUUCAUUCACAACAAUUGAACCGCUCUCCUUGAAGCUCUUGAUGAUCCGAUAAAUGGUUGAUUUAGGUAACCAUGGUUGACAGAGGAAGAACAAUGAUUCCAAACAGAACCCUCCUUUUGAAGCUUCCAGUCUGUUAUUUGAGCUCAAUCAGCAUGACAGAGUGAUCUACAGCCUUAUCCUCAUCAACACUCGCACCUGUGUUAAGGAGAGAAUCACUGACAUGAUGUCAGCUGGUCCUUUUGCGGCAGGGCUGAAAUGCAGUGGAAAUGUUUUUUGGGGAUUCAGCUCAUUUGCAAAGAGGGGCUUUGAAAAUCAUCUGAUCACUCUUCAUAACAUUCUGGAGUAUAUGCAAAUUGCCAACAUACAAACAGAGGCAGCAGACUAUGUGAAAAUUAAUAUUCAUUCUCAAAACUUUUGGCCAUGACUGUACAUCAUUCAUUUAAAAGGCCAAAAAUGGAUUUACCAAUUGCAGACUGUAGCUUUAAAAGAAACAUCAGGACUUCAGAAGUUCCACUCUACAGUUGUUAAAAUGAAGUAGAUGAGGUGAUCUGUCUCCCUGUUUUGUUCAGUGUCCAGAAGCCCAGAGCAGAGUCACCUACAACCAGCCUGCUAUCAAUGAAGAGUGAUCAGCCACCUGCUUUCAGCCAGGAACCAUUACCAGAUGACAAUAAGGAAGUGGAGAGUUUGGACAGUGAGGAUGUAUUAAAGAUCACACACAACCUUCUGGACAGAAGAAGUCAAACUCUGCUGACAGUCCAACAAGACAUCAAGGCUAAACUGAAACACAAGUAUCAACACAUAUCUGAAGGAAUUGGACACCAUGGAAACCAAAGUCUGUUCAAAGACAUCUACACAGAGCUCUACAUCACAGAGGGUGGAAGUGGAGGGCUCAAUAAUGAACAUGAGGUUAGACAGAUAGAGAUGGCAUCCAAGAAACGACACCACACAAGAGACAC